ACCUCCCUUGGAUAUAGUGAUGGAUUCUAGCUCCAUUCAGGGCCUGUUUGGAUGUUUGGGCCUAAAAUCCCGUGGGAUUCAUUAAUUGGGCCGGCACAACUAAGAAAAAAAAAAAAUCAGCCUGAGUUAGACUUCUAUUCACAAAUUCCUAGGGGCCUUUGGAGUGGACCAGCCCGAAAAAAAAAAAAAGAUCGUUGAGGUCUUCUUUUUCUCCUUAUGGGAUUCAAGUCAGCCCACUUCAAGGGCCCCUGGGUAUUUGUGAACACAAAUUUAACUCAGGCUGAUUUUUUUUCCUAGUUGUGUUGGCCCACCUAAUGAAUCCCAUGGGAUUUUGGGCCCAAACAUCCAAACAGGCCCUCAAUGGUGAGUAAUCCCCAUCUCAUGGCUCAUGCCAUCCAAUUGCUAUGAAUCUCUACAGGAUUUCUCAAUGGACUCCCUCUCCAACAGUGAGGGAUAUCGUGUCGCAUUGCAAUUUUGUAGUGUCUUAUGACUUUUUGACCUCUGCCCUACUAUAACCACUC
rnacentral:lncRNA from 1 species